AGAGUUUGAUUAUGGCUCAGGAUGAACGCUAGCUACAGGCUUAACACAUGCAAGUCGAGGGGCAGCGAGAGGAAAGCUUGCUUCCUGUCGGCGACCGGCGCACGGGUGAGUAACGCGUAUCCAACCUUCCCCUUAGUAGGGCAUAGCCCGGUGAAAAUCGGAUUAAUACCCUAUGUUGUGUCAUGAGGACAUCUGAAUAACACUAAAGAUUUAUCGCUAAGGGAUGGGGAUGCGUCCGAUUAGGUAGUCGGCGGGGUAACGGCCCACCGAGCCUUCGAUCGGUAGGGGUUCUGAGAGGAAGGUCCCCCACACUGGUACUGAGACACGGACCAGACUCCUACGGGAGGCAGCAGUGAGGAAUAUUGGUCAAUGGGCGUAAGCCUGAACCAGCCAAGUAGCCGUGCAGGAUGACGGCCCUAUGGGUUGUAAACUGCUUUUAUACGGGGAUAAAGUGAGGGACGUGUCCCUUAUUGUAGGUACCGUAUGAAUAAGGACCGGCUAAUUCCGUGCCAGCAGCGGC
rnacentral:rRNA from 1 species